CACGUAGGGUGCGAGCGUUGUCCGGAAUUAUUGGGCGUAAAGAGCUCGUAGGCGGUGUGUCACGUCGGCCGUGAAAACCUGCAGCUUAACUGUGGGCGUGCGGUCGAUACGGGCAUCACUGGAGUUCGGCAGGGGAGACUGGAAUUCCUGGUGUAGCGGUGAAAUGCGCAGAUAUCAGGAGGAACACCGGUGGCGAAGGCGGGUCUCUGGGCCGAUAACUGACGCUGGAGGAGCGAAAGCUGGGGAGCAACAGG
rnacentral:rRNA from 1 species